GAUGAACGCUGGCGGCGUGCCUAAUACAUGCAAGUCGUACGGAAAGGCCCUUCGGGGUACUCGAGUGGCGGACGGCUGAGUAACGCGUGGGAACGUGCCCCAAAGUGAGGGAUAACGCACCGAAAGGUGUGCUAAUACCGCAUAUGGUCUUCGGAUUAAAGCUUCGGCGCUUUGGGAGCGGCCCGCGUACGACUAGAUAGUUGGUGCGGUAAUGGCUCACCAAGUAGACGAUCGUUAGCUGGUCUGAGAGGAUGAUCAGCCAGACUGGGACUGAGACACGGCCCAGACUCCUACGGGAGGCAGCAGUAAGGAAUCUUCCACAAUGGGGGCAACCCUGAUGGAGCAACGCCGCGUGCAGGAUGAAGGUUUUCGGAUCGUAAACUGCUUUUAUAAGUGAAGAAUAUGACGGUAACUUAUGAAUAAGGAUCGGCUAACUACGUGCCGGCAGCCGCCGCCG
rnacentral:rRNA from 1 species